rnacentral:rRNA from 1 species
CGGACGGGUGAGUAACGCGUGGGUAACCUGCCUCAUACAGGGGGAUAACGAUUGGAAACGAUUGCUAAUACCGCAUAAGCGCACAGUACCACAUGGUGCAGUGUGAAAAACUCCGGUGGUAUGAGAUGGACCCGCGUCUGAUUAGGUAGUUGGUGGGGUAACGGCUUACCAAGCCGACGAUCAGUAGCCGACCUGAGAGGGUGACCGGCCACAUUGGGACUGAGACACGGCCCAA